UCGUCAGUAAGGUUAAUCCUUACCUGUUUCUCCUUUCGGAGAGCAGAUUUAAAAUGAUGAUUUGGAGCUCGCAUGAUCCGUGAUUAACGUUUCCGCGUGAUCAGGACCAGCAACAUCCUGAUUGCUCCUAUCUGAU
ensembl:snoRNA U8 U8 small nucleolar RNA